AACUCGACUUCACACUAAUAGUAAAAGCUGAUAUUUUAUAAACUUCUCACAUAUAUUACAUUUUAAUCCAGGAAUCAAAUAGAAACAUAAAGAUGAUUUUCAGAUCAUGUUUAUGUGAAGGAGUCUGAUCAGUAAGUGAGAUUCCACUUCCAUCAGUCAGCUUCUUUCCCACAAUGCACCUGUGUGUAACCUCACUGCAGUGUAAUAAUGUACAGAGACGUUUACCGUGUCGAGUAAAAGACACAACAAACACGCAGCAUAUAACACACGCCACUGACAGACUCCAUCAGAAUGUCUCUCCUACAGUUUAUUUUCUCCUGCACUAAUAAGGAGCUACACCUCAGUAUGGGAGAAGAUCUAAAUGGACUGAUGAGUCAUUAAUGUUCUCCAUAUACAAUGUUCUAUAGUUACAUGUGCUGAUAUCAGAACAGUUUUAUAUUUGUCUUGAAGCAGUUGUAUAAAUACACAUACAUUAAUAAUUUGUUUCUGGCUGCAUGAUUUUUCCCUCCACAGUUAUGUUUCUGUACCUGAUGAAUCUGUCCAAUGUGAGCAGAUGAUGAUGAUCACAGUGUAACAGAAUGUUAUGUAGAUUUACUGACUGAUGGCUAACUGUUAAACUUUUAUGAUCUUAGAUUUGUUUAGGAAGAUAAUGAAACUGUUUUAUGACCAAAGUAACAGUUCUUUUCUUUAUUUUAUAAUUUAUCUUUAAACUCAUUCACAAAACAUUUACACUUUAUUAUUCACAGAAACGGGAACAAUCUGGAGCUCCACAGAGGACAGAACAGACAGUUAAAGACUUCAGUGUUUAUCAGAGAGACAGAAAAUGGACAGAAGAUGAGAGAAAGAAAAUGGAGAAAUCUGUUCUACUGACUGCUUCUUCAGAGGAGGUAAGUAAAUAACUCGACUUCACACUAAUAGUAAAAGCUGAUAUUUUAUAAACUUAUCACAUAUAUUACAUUUUAAUCCAGGAAUCAAAUAGAAACAUAAAGAUGAUUUUCAGAUCAUGUUUAUGUGAAGGAGUCUGAUCAGUAAGUGAGAUUCCACUUCCAUCAGUCAGCUUCUUUCCCACAAUGCACCUGUGU